rnacentral:rRNA from 1 species
UUACCUUGUUGUUACACGACUUCACCCCAGUCAUGAAUCUACCGUGGUAAUCGCCCUCCUUACGGUUAGGCUGGCUACUUCUGGUAAAACCCACUCCCAUAGUGCUGACGGGCGGUGUGCUGCAAGACCCGGGAACGUAUUCACCGCGACAUGCUGAUCCGCAGUGCGUGGUCCGUUGUUGCAGUCAGGGACGGACAGCCGAUCGGACUACGAUCGGGUUUCAGAGAUUCAGCUCCCCCUCGCGGGUUGGCGACCACUCUGUCCCGACCAUUUAGCGCUGGCGGUGAAGCCCCUGUUACGUGGGACAAGGAUGGCGAUUCGAUCUUGUGACAGUUUGUAUGCCGGCGGUCGUUAAAGUGCCUCGUGCCAACCAUGACAAGGGUUGCGCUCGUUGCGGGACUUAACCCAGACAUCUCGACGAGCUGACGACAGCCAUGCAGCACCUGUGUUCGGUUCUCUUGCGACACUCCCAAAUCUCUUCAGGAUUCCAGACGCAUAUCAAGGUAAUUAAGGUUGCAUUCGUUAUCGGAUAAUCAUCAUCCACCGCUUGUGCGGUCCCGUGGUCCUUUGAGUUUAAUCCCAGCCAUAUCAUUAUUCAUUAUCGUGUCUUUCUUGAAGUUCAAAGAGCUAACAAGAUUGACAAUCGUUUGAUUGGACUACCAGGGUAUCUAAUCUGUUUGCUCCCCACGCUUUCGUGCAUGAGCGUCAGUGUUAUCCCAGGAGGACUGCCUUCGCCAUCGGUGUUCCUCCGCAUAUCUACGCAUUUUCACUGCUACACGCGCGGAAUUCACCUCCCUCUGACACGUAAUGAGCUCGGUAGUUAAAAAUGCAGUUCCAAAGUUAAGCUCUCGGUUCACAUCUUUCUUUCCGAACCGCCUGCUGCUGCGCCCAGUAAUUCCGAUUGCCAUUGCACCAUCAUGCGUUACUGGCACACGUGGUCAGCCGGUGCUUAUUCUGCGACAUCAGUUGCCUGGGUAUUAUCCGUGCCGUUGCUUUCCUGCCAAAAGUGCUUUACAACCCAGAACCUUAAAUCGACCACACGCGAGAUGGCUGGAUCAGGGUUUUCAUUACGUUAUCAGGUGUUCGGCCUCGUGUGAGUCUGGGCCGAUGAUGUGGACGUGGCUGGUCGUCCUUCUCGACCAGCGGAUCGUCGCCUUGGUGAGUCGUUACCCCACCAACUGAAUAAUCCGAUAUCGGCCGCUCUAAUAGUGCAGGCCGGAUCCCCGCUUUCCCGAAGGGCGUAUGCGGUAUUAGCUACUGCUUUCGCGUAGUUAUCCCCCGCUACUAGGCGUUCCGAUACAUUACUCACCCGUUCGCCACUCGCCACCAGACCGAAGUCCAUGCUGCCGUUCCGACUUACGUGUAAAGCAUCCCGCCAGCGUUCAAUCUGGGUUGUAAGAUCUGAACC